rnacentral:rRNA from 1 species
CCGCCAGAGAACUACUAGUGAAAAACUUAAAACUCAAAGGACUUGGCGGUGUCCCAUUUCGGCCUAGAGGAGCCUGUCCUAUAAUCGACACCCCCCGUUCCACCCAACCUCCACUUGCACAUUCAGCCUAUAUACCGCCGUCGACAGUCUACCCCAUGAGGGCCUUUUAGUAGACACAAUAGCAAUAACUCGCUAGUACGUCAGGUCAAGGUGUAGCAAAUGUUGAGGCAGAGAUUGGCUACAUUUUUUGUUUCAAACAAACGAAAUGCAACAUGAAACAUUGCACGAAGGUGAAUUUAGCAGUAAAAU